AAGUCGUAACAAGGUCUCCGUAGGUGAACCUGCGGAAGGAUCAUUAACACGUGUCCCACGUAAUAAACCAAAACCGAGAACUUUGAACGUAUGUCCGGGAUGGACUAAGGAUGGCGUCGGUAGUAAAGGCCAAGGCAUUGCUAGGAUACCCUUCGGGGAAUCUCUGUGGUGCUUUGGGUUCCACACAUCCUAAUCCAGACCGUUAACCAAACCAUUAUUUAUUAUUAUUAUCGUCUUAAGUCUAUCGUGUUGACUGAGAGGAUUGGGCAACCUUUCCUCGAAUGUUGAUAAUGAUGUCUUAUUACAAACUAUGUACAACUCUUAGCAACGGAUAUCUUGGUUUCC
rnacentral:misc_RNA from 1 species